GAUAGGUCCUUUAAUUUUCGCUCAUCUUAUGCUGAAUCCAUUUCACGCUGCUUAGUUAACUAUUCAUCAGAAUAUGCAGGAAGACACUUUAUCAUUUUUAUUUUUAAUUUCCCUUUGAUGGUUUGCUUUUUUAAAUGCACAAAAACUUAUUUUGUUACACCUUCUAAAAAAUGGAAAUGUCAUUUUAAAAUGGAGCCUAUGAAAAUUGCUAUCUAUUCAAAUGACAUUCAAGUAUGAGUCAUUUCCCAGGGCAGUAAUUGUUUUUCUAUAGUUGGAUUAUACCAUGCACAUGCUAAUUAUGAAGGUUUGUGAUCCAUUUUGAGUUAUUUUUUUUAAGAGUCUAGUAUCUAUAUGUAUAUGAAGUCAGAGAGACAGAGAGAGCAUCAAACUUACUCAAUGCUUAUUUCAAUCAUAAAAUUGCAAAU